UAUUUAAUGCAUAUUUUGUGUAAAUUACUUAUUCGGUACUCAAUUUUCAGUUUCGUUAAUUUUCUUUAUUUUUUUAUUUACCUUUUUAUUUCUACUUUUAUCCCCUAGAGAAUAAUAGCCCUAGACUUGCAAGUCAGACACGGCGCCCUCACUUGCGGACAUGGGUGUUGAAAACCAUUCAUCUCAAGUGUCAGUAGGCCUAGUUUAGUAGUCCAUCAAAAUACAUAGGGCUACACUAACCUGCAUAAUGGCGAAAUACUACCGG